AGUGAACGCUGGCGGUAGGCCUAACACAUGCAAGUCGAACGGCAGCACAGUAAGAGCUUGCUCUUACGGGUGGCGAGUGGCGGACGGGUGAGGAAUACAUCGGAAUCUACUUUUUCGUGGGGGAUAACGUAGGGAAACUUACGCUAAUACCGCAUACGACCUACGGGUGAAAGCAGGGGAUCUUCGGACCUUGCGCGAUUGAUUGAGCCGAUGUCGGAUUAGCUAGUUGGCGGGGUAAAGGCCCACCAAGGCGACGAUCCGUAGCUGAUCUGAGAGGAUGAUCAGCCACACUGGAACUGAGACACGGUCCAGACUCCUACGGGAGGCAGCAGUGGGGAAUAUUGGACAAUGGGCGCAAGCCUGAUCCAGCCAUACCGCGUGAGUGAAGAAGGCCUUCGGGUUGUAAAGCCCUUUUGUUGGGAAAGAAAAGCAGCAGGUUAAUACCCCGCUGUUCUGACGGUACCCAAAGAAUAAGCACCGGCUAACUUCGUG
rnacentral:rRNA from 1 species